rnacentral:tRNA from 1 species
GCCCUCGGUGGCUCAGAUGGAUAGAGCGUCUGCCUUGCAAGCAGGAGAUCCUGGGUUCGAGUCCCUGUCGGGACA